rnacentral:rRNA from 1 species
AGAGUUUGAUUAUGGCUCAGGAUGAACGCUGGCGGCGUGCCUAACACAUGCAAGUCGAACGGUUAAGCCGGCUUCGGCCGGGCAUACAGUGGCGAACGGGUGAGUAACACGUGACCAACCCGCCCCCCGCACCGGGACAGCCCCGCGAAAGCGCGGUUAAUACCGGAUACGCCCCUCCCCGCGCAUGCGGGAGGGGGGAAAGCCCAGGCGGCGGGGGAUGGGGUCGCGGCCCAUCAGGUAGUAGGUCGGGUAGAGGCCGACCUGGCCGACGACGGGUAGCCGGGUUGAGAGACCGACCGGCCACAUUGGGACUGAGAUACGGCCCAGACUCCUACGGGAGGCAGCAGUGGGGAAUAUUGCGCAAUGGGGGCAACCCUGAACCGCAGCAACGCCGCGUGCGGGACGAAGGCGUCCGCGUCGUAAACCGCUUUCAGCAGGGAAGACAUCGACGGUACCUGCAGAAGAAGCCCCGGCUAACUACGUGCCAGCCGCCGC